GAUGAACGCUAGCGGCAGGCCUAACACAUGCAAGUCGAGGGGUAGAUAUCUUCGGAUAUUGAGACCGGCGCACGGGUGCGUAACGCGUAUGCAAUCUACCUUUUACAGAGGGAUAGCCCAGAGAAAUUUGGAUUAAUACCUCAUAGUAUAUAACCUUCGCAUGUUGGUUAUAUUAAAGUUCCAACGGUAAAAGAUGGGCAUGCGUCCUAUUAGCUAGUUGGUGUGGUAACGGCACACCAAGGCGACGAUAGGUAGGGGUCCUGAGAGGGAGAUCCCCCACACUGGUACUGAGACACGGACCAGACUCCUACGGGAGGCAGCAGUGAGGAAUAUUGAACAAUGGGCGCAAGCCUGAUCCAGCCAUGCCGCGUGCAGGAAGAAGCAUCUAUGGUGUGUAAACUGCUUUUGUACAGGAAGAAACACCCCUUCGUGAAGGGACUUGACGGUACUGUAAGAAUAAGGAUCGGCUAACUCCGUGCCAGCAGCCGCCGCGGUAA
rnacentral:rRNA from 1 species